UCCGGGCCGGCAGAGCCCCUGCGGGACACGCUGCCCUGGCCGGGCGCACUGCGUCCGGGCACCUGCCCCUGAAGGAGUCCCAGGACUGGGGAGCCCGGGGGCCCAGGCGCUCGGGGAGGGGGGGGCAACCCCUGGAGACCCAUCCCCUCGUCUGCGCAGCGUGCACAGAUGUCUGUGACACACGGGGAACGGUCUCGAUCUCCACAAGAGGACCUCGGCAUCACAAGGGGGCGGCUCAGAGAGCGAACUGUCUCCGCCAGCAGGUCUCCUGCCCAGCAGGACCCACGCGCGGAAAGUAACGGUACUAACAACACGCUCACAAGCAGAAGGAGCAGCAGGGGGAGGAAACACCAGGGACACCCCAUCACGCAGGCCGGCCUGCAGGGGUUGGCCGCUGGCUACCCGGGAGUCGCCUGGCCCCAGCCCCGGCCCCGAGAAGGCAGGGGUUCUGGCCGCCGCUGCAGCGGGGGCUGCAGGGAGGGGCUGACACUCAGGGCUGUCGCCGGCCUGGCCCACGGGAGCAGGGCUUCCUGGCAGAGCGCUCCCCGCCGGGAGACUCCAGAGAGCACAGGUGGAUGGUGGAUGUGCCAGGGUGACGCUGAACGGACGGGACAGUGGUGACAGGAGGGUGGGGACUGGCCGAGGGCCCUGUGUGAGGGCCAGUCCGGGGAGUGCCAUCAGGGCCGACGGCAUCUGGGGCCACGGCCUUACUGGAAAGCGAGGCCUCCCCAGUGUGCAGCCAGGUCUCCACGCAAGGCCCCUGUUUGGGACCAGGCCCAUCUCCUCACACACCGGGGCCGUCAGGCCAUUACUCAGUGCCGUCCCAACUCCGCUGAGGGGCCAGAGCCAAGCUCAGUGCCAGGGCCCGGAGGCUGUCUCCACGAGUGCCCGGCUGGAGGGGAGGGGCGCGGCUGGAGCGGAAGAAUGCAGCUAACGAAGGGUGGGGAACAGCAGUGGCAGAGGGGGUGGGGGCCCACGACAGAGCUCGGGCACCCCACAGAGAGGGGGCGACAGGGAGGGGCACCAGGGAAAUGGCGCCAAGAAGAGGGGACACACUCAGCUCAGGCUCGGGCAGGGGAGGGGGAGGACACAGCAGGCACAGGACACGUGGAGCUCAGGGUGAGGCCGCGAGGAGUCCCUGAAAUGGGGGCUCGGGGAACCCUCGUCAAGCCGCAGCCUGUGCUCUGGAGACCUCAGGUCUGAACUCUGAGGUCACAGCCCCGCCGAGGAUCUAAUUAAAACAGAGAGCUGUCACCAGGAAAACGGGCUGUCGGACACACACCGGGCGGGUGCCCACAGCUUCUGAAGGUUCCGGGGACCCCAGAGGGCUUCCGACAGAGGCCCGGCAGGAAGAGGGACAGCUGGCCGCAGACACACGGGGAGAGGCUGCGUAGCCACAGAGACAGAGA